GACGAACGCUGGCGGCGUGCUUAACACAUGCAAGUCGAACGGAAAGGCCCUGCUUGCAGGGUACUCGAGUGGCGAACGGGUGAGUAACACGUGGGUGAUCUGCCCUGCACUUCGGGAUAAGCCUGGGAAACUGGGUCUAAUACCGGGUAGGAGCCAUCCUUAGUGUGAUGGUUGGAAAGUUUUUUCGGUGUAGGAUGAGCUCGCGGCCUAUCAGCUUGUUGGUGGGGUAGUGGCCUACCAAGGCGGCGACGGGUAGCCGGCCUGAGAGGGUGGACGGCCACAUUGGGACUGAGAUACGGCCCAGACUCCUACGGGAGGCAGCAGUGGGGAAUAUUGCACAAUGGGCGGAAGCCUGAUGCAGCGACGCCGCGUGGGGGAUGACGGCCUUCGGGUUGUAAACUCCUUUCGCUAGGGACGAAGCGUUUGUGACGGUACCUAGAUAAGAAGCACCGGCUAACUACGUG
rnacentral:rRNA from 1 species